ACCUACUGUUUAAUUUUGAGGGUUCGUUUUUACGAAUACUCAAAAUUAGCACUUUUAGCAACAGAAUAAACUGAACGCAUGUGAAGUUUGUUUGUUGGCGACGUGCUUUAGCACUUUAAGCAACGGGAUUUAUCCGUUGGCGCUGUGCGUUAGCACUUUGAAAACUGCAUAUAUAUUUAGUGAUAUGACAUCUAAUUUGUAAUAUAUAAAGCUGAUAACUUUUUAAAAUUAUCGAAGUUGAUAGCUUCUAAUCUAUCAAACCUUUUUAACUGGUCAA
rnacentral:misc_RNA from 1 species